AUCCAUCUGAAGACUCCUAUAUGGGACGAAACACAUGUCCUGCAU
rfam:Schistosoma margrebowiei strain Zambia genome assembly, scaffold: SMRZ_scaffold0000066